rnacentral:rRNA from 1 species
GACGAACGCUGGCGGCGUGCUUAACACAUGCGAGUCGAACGGAAAGACCCCGCUUUUGUGGGGUGCUCGAGUGGCGAACGGGUGAGUAACACGUGAGUAACCUGCCCUUGACUUUGGGAUAACUUCAGGAAACUGGGGCUAAUACCGGAUAGGAGCUCCUGCUGCAUGGUGGGGGUUGGAAAGUUUCGGCGGUUGGGGAUGGACUCGCGGCUUAUCAGCUUGUUGGUGGGGUAGUGGCUUACCAAGGCUUUGACGGGUAGCCGGCCUGAGAGGGUGACCGGCCACAUUGGGACUGAGAUACGGCCCAGACUCCUACGGGAGGCAGCAGUGGGGAAUAUUGCACAAUGGGCGGAAGCCUGAUGCAGCAACGCCGCGUGCGGGAUGACGGCCUUCGGGUUGUAAACCGCUUUCGCCUGUGACGAAGCGUGAGUGACGGUAAUGGGUAAAGAAGCACCGGCUAACUACGUG